rnacentral:rRNA from 1 species
GAUGAACGCUAGCUACAGGCUUAACACAUGCAAGUCGAGGGGAAACGAUAUUGGAAGCUUGCUUCCGAUAGGCGUCGACCGGCGCACGGGUGAGUAACGCGUAUCCAACCUGCCCAUCACUUGGGGAUAACCUUGCGAAAGUAAGACUAAUACCCAAUGACGUCUCUAGAAGACAUCUGAAGGAGAUUAAAGAUUUAUCGGUGAUGGAUGGGGAUGCGUCUGAUUAGCUUGUUGGCGGGGUAACGGCCCACCAAGGCGACGAUCAGUAGGGGUUCUGAGAGGAAGGUCCCCCACAUUGGAACUGAGACACGGUCCAAACUCCCACGGGAGGCAGCAGUGAGGAGUAUUGGUCAAUGGACGAGAGUCUGAACCAGCCAAGUAGCGUGCAGGAUGACGGCCCUAUGGGUUGUAAACUGCUUUUAUAAGGGAAUAAAGUGAGCCUCGUGAGGCUUUUUGCAUGUACCUUAUGAAUAAGGACCGGCUAAUUCCGUGCCAGCCGCCGCCGUAA